GACGUAGGGCGCGAGCGUUGUCCGGAUUUAUUGGGCGUAAAGAGCUCGUAGGCGGCUUGUUGCGUCGACUGUGAAAGCCCGCGGCUUAACCGCGGGCUUGCAGUUGAUACGGGCAGGCUAGAGUUCGGUAGGGGAGACUGGAAUUCCUGGUGUAGCGGUGAAAUGCGCAGAUAUCAGGAGGAACACCGGUGGCGAAGGCGGGUCUCUGGGCCGAUACUGACGCUGAGGAGCGAAAGCGUGGGGAGCGAACAGG
rnacentral:rRNA from 1 species